CUCUUGCUGAACUCGGUUUCUGCAGAGCUCCGUUCUUACAAGAACAGGGCGAAAGUCUCACACGGUUUAUGAUUUUGGUCAUUUUUCUCCUUGUCUGAAGUGGAUAGAUCUAUCUAUCUCUCUUCAAGGAUUUGAAGAACACUGAUUGCUCAGACUUUGAAGGAUUCAGUGCAUCACAUAUCACUACACUGAAGGUCAGAAGGUCAAGAUGGAGAAGUCAGGCCAAGAGUCAGCUAAUGACAACAGCAACCAGGCGGCCGCCACCGCUCAGAGCCCCGAGGAGUCUCACCAACUCAGCGUCCGGCGUUGCAUCCAGGCUGUGAUCCAUGUGACCAAGUGCAGAAAUGCCGACUGCCCUGUGCCGUUCUGUCCGAGGAUCAAACAGGUCCUUCAGCACGCGGAAGGAUGCAAGAGGAAAUGGAACCAAAACUGCCACGUCUGCAAGAAAGUCAUUUCCCUUUGUUGCGACCAUGCAAAACACUGUCAGGAUAACAAGUGUCCGUUCUUGUUCUGUCCGGAGAUCAAGUGGAAGCUUCACCAACAGGAGCUGCAGUGGCAGGAGCAGCAGCUCUGGCUGCAGAUGCAGCAGGGUGGGAGACAAAGACAGAAAGAGAUUGUCAAGAGAGGGUAAUGAAGCCAGGUGCAGAUGGGCAGACGAAGACAUCCACCUGAACGCUGACUCCACUUCCCGGUGGAGGGCGCGCUCGCUCUCGCUCAGAGUCAGAUAAUACAUGUCGGAAAUCUGAGGCAUGUAAGAGCUGAAGCAAAUCAGUUCUCUUUGCUUUUUCAUUUUUGUUUUUUACUAAUUUGAAUUAUAACCUGUAAUCCUGGGAGUGAAUAAAAAU